UACGAAGGGGGCAAGCGUUGUCCGGAAUCAUUGGGCGUAAAGAGCGUGUAGGCGGCCAGAUAAGUCCGCUGUGAAAUCUCGAGGCUCAACUUCGAGCUGUCGGUGGAAACUGUCUGGCUAGAGUCCGGAAGAGGAGAAUGGAAUUCCUGGUGUAGCGGUGAAAUGCGCAGAUAUCAGGAGGAACACCUGCGGCGAAGGCGGGUUGCUGGGCCGACACUGACGCUGAUGCGCGAAAGCCAGGGGAGCGAACGGG
rnacentral:rRNA from 1 species